GGCUCGGUAGCUUAGUCGGUAAAGCACUUGUCAAAUAAGGGUCAUGUGAGUUCAAAUCUCACCUGAGCUG
rnacentral:tRNA from 1 species